AUUGAACGCUGGCGGCAGGCUUAACACAUGCAAGUCGAGCGGGGUGAUGGUGCUUGCACUAUCACUUAGCGGCGGACGGGUGAGUAAUGCUUAGGAAUCUGCCUAUUAGUGGGGGACAACAUCUCGAAAGGGAUGCUAAUACCGCAUACGUCCCACGGGAGAAAGCAGGGGAUCACUUGUGACCUUGCGCUAAUAGAUGAGCCUAAGUCGGAUUAGCUAGUUGGUGGGGUAAAGGCCUACCAAGGCGACGAUCUGUAGCGGGUCUGAGAGGAUGAUCCGCCACCCUGGGACUGAGACACGGCCCAGACUCCUACGGGAGGCAGCAGUGGGGAAUAUUGGACAAUGGGGGGAACCCUGAUCCAGCCAUGCCGCGUGUGUGAAGAAGGCCUUAUGGUUGUAAAGCACUUUAAGCGAGGAGGAGGCUCUUUUGGUUAAUACCCAAGAUGAGUGGACGUUACUCGCAGAAUAAGCACCGGCUAACUCCGUGCCAGCCGCCGCAGUAA
rnacentral:rRNA from 1 species